AAAAAGAACAAAAAAAAGAGAGAAAACAAAAGCGUCUACAAUACGAUUAUGUUAUGCGUUAUCGAUCCUUCCUCCACCUCCUUCACUUGUUUCUCAACUCCUUCUUCUUCUUC
rnacentral:ribozyme from 13 species